rnacentral:misc_RNA from 1 species
GAAAUGCGAUAAGUAAUGUGAAUGGCAGAAUUCAGUGAAUCAUCGAAUCUUUGAACGCACAUUGCGCCCGCCAGCACUCUGGCGGGCAUGCCUGUUCGAGCGUCAUUUCAACCCUCAGAACCCCUUGCGGGAUCUGGCGUUGGGGAUUGGCAUCCAGCCAGCCCCGAAAUCUAGCGGCGGUCCCUCCGCGACCUCCCCUGUGCAGUAGCGAUACCUCGCAGCGGGACAGCGGUCUGACCACGCCGUAAAACCCCCAACUUCUCAAGGUUGACCUCGAAUCAGGUAGGAAUACCCACUGAACUUAAGC